rnacentral:lncRNA from 1 species
CCUAAAGUGAAUUUUUAAAAUCCAGAAGGUAACUCAGUUAUUAUAUGACGCUGCAAUUUCAGUGCUGGGCUCCAGACAAUUCUAGAAAAAUAAGUCUUGCACUGUCAAAAAAUAGCGCAGAAUUCCAUCCACAAAAUGCAAAGAUGGAGAACUGUAAACAGCAAGUGCGGGAGGUUGUUGGUGGUCACUACUUCCUUUCCCAGGGACACGCAUGGAACUAAGAGGGACAACUUUAUUCUGUCAAACUUUCUUUCCACAUAGAUUCACUUUAAUGAAAAACGGAAUAUGAUGCACCGUAUUUAUUGUAAGUAAAUUUAUUCAUUUACUGUAAGUAUGGUUACCAUGUCACAAUGAUUUUCCUCUGAGACUUGUUUUUGGAGAAACAAUUUUU